rnacentral:ncRNA from 1 species
UGAAUUUGGCAAAUCAACCGAAAGAUUGAGACGCAAAGCUAUGGUGUCUAAACGGAAUUCCGCAAGACCGACCGGCUGCA